rnacentral:misc_RNA from 1 species
CAACCAUCAAGCCCUGCUUGUGUUGGGGUCCUGCGGCUGCCCGCAGGCCCUGAAAACCAGUGGCGGGCUCGCCUACACUCCGAGCGCAGUAAUACAUCUCGCUCUGGUCGUGAGGCGGGUUCCGGCCGUUAAACACCCCCCUUUUGCAA